rnacentral:rRNA from 1 species
AGGGAAUAUUGGACAAUGGGCGCAAGCCUGAUCCAGCCAUGCCGCGUGAGUGAAGAAGGCCCUCGGGUUGUAAAGCUCUUUUGUCCGGAAAGAAAAGCAUCCAGUUAAUACCUGGGUGUCCUGACGGUACCGGAAGAAUAAGCACCGGCUAACUUCGUGCCAGCAGCCGCGGUAAUACGAAGGGUGCAAGCGUUACUCGGAAUUACUGGGCGUAAAGCGUGCGUAGGUGGUUUGUUAAGUCUGAUGUGAAAGCCCUGGGCUCAACCUGGGAAUGGCAUUGGAUACUGGCAGGCUAGAGUGCGGUAGAGGGUAGUGGAAUUCCCGGUGUAGCAGUGAAAUGCGUAGAGAUCGGGAGGAACAUCUGUGGCGAAGGCGACUACCUGGACCAGCACUGACACUGAGGCACGAAAGCGUGGGGAGCAAAC